CAGCAGUGGGGAAUUUUCCGCAAUGGGCGAAAGCCUGACGGAGCAAUGCCGCGUGGAGGUGGAAGGCCUACGGGUCGUCAACUUCUUUUCUCGGAGAAGAAACAAUGACGGUAUCUGAGGAAUAAGCAUCGGCUAACUCUGUGCAG
rnacentral:rRNA from 1 species